rnacentral:rRNA from 1 species
AGAGUUUGAUCCUGGCUCAGGAUGAACGCUGGCGGCGUGCCUAAUACAUGCAAGUCGAGCGGUAAGGCCUCUUCGGAGGUACACGAGCGGCGGACGGGUGAGUAACGCGUAAGAAUCUACCCCAAAGUGAGGGAUAAGCACCAGAAAUGGUGUCUAAUACCGCAUGUGCUCUAAGGAGUAAAGCUUUAAGCGCUUUGGGAAGAGCCUGCGUAUGAUUAGCUUGUUGGUGAGGUAAAAGCUCACCAAGGCGACGAUCAUUAGCUGGUCUGAGAGGAUGAUCAGCCAGACUGGGACUGAGAACGGCCCACACUCCUACGGGAGGCGGCACUAGGGAAUUUUCCACAAUGGACGAAAGUCUGAUGGAGCGACGCCGCGUGCAGGAUGAAGGCCUUCGGGUCGUAAACUGCUUUUAUAUGUGAAAAUUAUGAUGGUAACAUACGAAUAGGGAUCGGCUAACUCCGUGCCAGCAGCCGCGGUCAUACAGAGGAUCCAAGCGUUAUCCGGAAUUACUGGGCGUAAAGAGUUGCGUACGUGGCAUAGUAAGCGAAUAGUGAAAGCGUAUGGCUCAACCAUAUAAACAUUACUCGAACUGCUAAGCUAGAAGAUAAGAGAGGUACCUGGAAUUCCUAGUGUAGGAGUGAAAUCCGUACAUAUUACGAGGAACACCAAUGGCGUAGGCUA